AAAGUGAAGACCACCAACACCCAAAAAAGCAAAAACAUAGUGAAGACCUCAAGAAACCCUCUGCUUCUCUCACAAUUUCUCCGGCCCUCUGUUAACACAAACAUGAAGAAAUGUUUUGAGACCGGCCAAUCCUCCACCAACGAAACCUUAAGUGUGAAGAGAAAAGGAAAGAAGCCCAUUGCCCCAAGGAAGGAAAGUGAACUGAGAGAUAACAAGCACAAGAAGCAUACAUGUUCUAAAGGGAGGUUUGAGAAAACGAUGAAGAAGCAGCAAAGUUUGGAAUCAAAGAUAGCAGAUCUUAAGAGACAAAUGGACCGCGAGGAGUUGCAGGAAUACCAAGAAAAGCUGGGACGAUUGGAGCAGAACCUUGCCGAGAUUAGAACGCAAUUCUCUCUGGCAAAAGAAAUAAAUGAUGACAACCAGAUUUUCUUGAACUCUAUAAUUGCUCUUUUGUUCCCUUGAGGAGCAGUGGGGAACUAACUCCAGAUGAUUAAGUGCUAAGAGUUCCAAACUUGUGGGAAGGAGGAAAUCAAACUUCGGGAGUUCUCCUUUUAUCCAAUUAGAGUAUAUUUAGUUAUCGAACAUCAGUAUCGUGACAUGAUGAUUGUUUUAAGACUUUAUAUGGAGUGUAAACAAUGUUGUUUGUUUUUCAUUUCAUUUAAUUUAUUCGCUUGAAGACUUUA
rnacentral:sRNA from 1 species